GGAUUAGUGGCGAACGGGUGAGUAACACGUGAGUAACCUGCCCUUAACUCUGGGAUAAGCCUGGGAAACUGGGUCUAAUACCGGAUAGGAGCGUCCACCGCAUGGUGGGUGUUGGAAAGAUUUAUCGGUUUUGGAUGGACUCGCGGCCUAUCAGCUUGUUGGUGAGGUAAUGGCUCACCAAGGCGACGACGGGUAGCCGGCCUGAGAGGGUGACCGGCCACACUGGGACUGAGACACGGCCCAGACUCCUACGGGAGGCAGCAGUGGGGAAUAUUGCACAAUGGGCGAAAGCCUGAUGCAGCGACGCCGCGUGAGGGAUGACGGCCUUCGGGUUGUAAACCUCUUUCAGUAGGGAAGAAGCGAAAGUGACGGUACCUGCAGAAGAAGCACCGGCUAACUACGUGCCAGCAGCCGCGGUAAUACGUAGGGUGCGAGCGUUAUCCGGAAUUAUUGGGCGUAAAGAGCUCGUAGGCGGUUUGUCGCGUCUGUCGUGAAAGUCCGGGGCUUAACCCCGGAUCUGCGGUGGGUACGGGCAGACUAGAGUGCAGUAGGGGAGACUGGAAUUCCUGGUGUAGCGGUGGAAUGCGCAGAUAUCAGGAGGAACACCGAUGGCGAAGGCAGGUCUCUGGGCUGUAACUGACGCUGAGGAGCGAAAGCAUGGGGAGCGAACAGGAUUAGAUACCCUGGUAGUCCAUGCCGUAAACGUUGGGCACUAGGUGUGGGGACCAUUCCACGGUUUCCGCGCCGCAGCUAACGCAUUAAGUGCCCCGCCUGGGGAGUACGGCCGCAAGGCUAAAACUCAAAGGAAUUGACGGGGGCCCGCACAAGCGGCGGAGCAUGCGGAUUAAUUCGAUGCAACGCGAAGAACCUUACCAAGGCUUGACAUGUUCUCGAUCGCCGUGGAGAUACGGUUUCCCCUUUGGGGCGGGUUCACAGGUGGUGCAUGGUUGUCGUCAGCUCGUGUCGUGAGAUGUUGGGUUAAGUCCCGCAACGAGCGCAACCCUCGUUCCAUGUUGCCAGCACGUAAUGGUGGGGACUCAUGGGAGACUGCCGGGGUCAACUCGGAGGAAGGUGAGGACGACGUCAAAUCAUCAUGCCCCUUAUGUCUUGGGCUUCACGCAUGCUACAAUGGCCGGUACAAUGGGUUGCGAUACUGUGAGGUGGAGCUAAUCCCAAAAAGCCGGUCUCAGUUCGGAUUGGGGUCUGCAACUCGACCCCAUGAAGUCGGAGUCGCUAGUAAUCGCAGAUCAGCAACGCUGCGGUGAAUACGUUCCCGGGCCUUGUACACACCGCCCGUCAAGUC
rnacentral:rRNA from 1 species